CCACAGAAUAUACAAAGAAAAGAGGUGUCUUUAGACAUAUCCAAAAUAUAUAACCAGUGUAUUUCAAACAAGGAUUCUUUUGAUAUCAGAAAGUGGGUCAGCAGUCACCCACAAGGCAAACAGCUCUGUGACAACUUGGAUAGGGGUUCCUACAAGACUGAAGACAGGCAGCUGCUAGUUAGGAUAGUCUGUUCAAAAUUAGUAAACUUAUGUGGAACUGUCUACCCAUCCUCAGAAUGGAAGGAACGUACUGCAGAGGCAUUAGUAGAUGCAUUUCCAUUGUUAAAAUCAAAAAGAUUCCCACAUGGGCAUGAAAGCUUCUAUGAUAAGACCACAGGAAUAAGCUUUAUAGAAUAGGCCUGAAAACGCUUAGGAAGUCCAUCAAAGAAAAAAAGGAUUAGCCAAAACUUCAAAAAUCUGCAGAAUAGAACCAUCUCUUGAAACAGAACGUUUGACUAAAGAGGAUUUAGAAGAAAAGAUAAUGUGGAUGAAAUUUAAAAAUCCCAUAGAACCCAAUAGACAGGCGAUUUCAGAUAUAUU